rnacentral:ncRNA from 2 species
CUAGGCAGGCGGUGCCUCGGUCCGGAUAUGUCCGGUGAAUAGGGAACGCGGUGACCUUCGGGAAAUCCGCGACUGCCCCCGCAACUGUGAGCGGCGAGCGCGAUCGGAACAUGCCACUGGGAUCCCAUGGUCCCGGGAAGGCCCGACCCGCGCAACGACCCGCAAAGUCAGGAGACCUGCCAAGGCGAUCACCCUACC